CACACCUGGGCGGCCCAAUUGGGCCACCCCUCAGCAGACCCCCUAAGACAAAGGAUUCCUAUAGAACCAGCACCAACAUCUAUAAACUAACAGACACGUAGACAUUUUAACGAGCGGUGUCUCCCUGAAUUAAGACGUCGGUCACCUGGCUCGUGACCCUUGCUCGUGAUGGAGCGUACGAGUACUCCCUUCCGUCCAAGGUUAAAUCUUCCUUUCUAAGUUGUCAGUUAACAGGCGCCAGUGUGUCUACUAGUGAGGGUUAAAUCUUUCUCUCUGAGAUAAGGAGCGCAUGGUCAGGUACCAGGCACUCGGAUGUUUCCCUGAACCC